rnacentral:rRNA from 1 species
AGCGAACGCUGGCGGCAGGCCUAACACAUGCAAGUCGAACGGAUCCUUCGGGAUUAGUGGCGGACGGGUGAGUAAUACGUGGGAACGUGCCCUUUGGUUCGGAACAACUCAGGGAAACUUGAGCUAAUACCGGAUGUGCCCUUCGGGGGAAAGAUUUAUCGCCAUUGGAGCGGCCCGCGUCUGAUUAGCUAGUUGGUGAGGUAACGGCCCACCAAGGCGACGAUCAGUAGCUGGUCUGAGAGGAUGAUCAGCCACACUGGGACUGAGACACGGCCCAGACUCCUACGGGAGGCAGCAGUGGGGAAUCUUGCGCAAUGGGCGAAAGCCUGACGCAGCCAUGCCGCGUGAAUGAUGAAGGUCUUAGGAUUGUAAAAUUCUUUCAGCGGGGACGAUAAUGACGGUACCCGCAGAAGAAGCUCCGGCUAACUUCGUG